AUACGUAGGGGGCGAGCGUUGUCCGGAAUGAUUGGGCGUAAAGGGCGUGUAGGCGGCCUGUUAAGUCUGAAGUGAAAGUCCUGUUUUCAAGAUGGGAAUUGCUUUGGAUACUGGCGGGCUUUCGUGCAGGAGAGGUUUUCGGAAUUCCCGGGGUAGCGGGGAAAUGCGUAGAGGUCGGGAGGAACACCAGUGGCGAAGGCGGGUAACUGGACUGCAACUGACUCUGAGGCGCGAAAGUGUGGGGAGCAAACAGGAUUAGAUACCCUGGUAGUCCACACUGUAAACGAUGAAUGCUAGGUGUAGGGGGUAUCGACCCCUUCUGUGCCGCAGUCAACACAAUAAGCAUUCCGCCUGGGGAGUACGGCCGCAAGGUUGAAACUCAAAUGAAUUGACGGGG
rnacentral:rRNA from 1 species